GACACGAGGAAUAAAGCUGUAGACCUUCACAAGGUUUUUGUACCCAAUAUUAAGCUCUAUUUUUCUAUUGUAUCAAAUACUUAUGCAAUGAAUUAUUUGAAAUUCAUACAAAGAGAUUUUGUGUCAAGUAGUACAAAGUAGUUGCAGUGUAUCUUUCUGCAGUUAAUUUACCUCAGGUUUUCUCACAGCUAUGAGUGGAUUUACGAGAUUUGGAGGAAAACGGAAUAACUGAAGUCAUUGAAAUGGUCAAAAGUGCUCUGUAUUGUCUUUCUGGUGAUCAUUUGGGUUCACACAGCAUUGCGCCCCCCUGAAAGUUACGAUUUUGCUGUUUGUGAUCCACAAACUGAAGACAGUCAAGGCAGCAAAGGAAUAAAGAAAAGACUGACUGGGAGAGAACAUUUCUCCGCUCUGCCAUCACUGAGGUCUUGCCUGACCUUCCAGAGGUGACAAAGGAUAUUUUAGAAGAGACUUUGCAUUCUCUAGGCAUGGAGACCUAUGAUGAUUUGUAGUUUAUAGAGCCAGAUGAUUUGCUGUCAGCGUUGAGGCCUGUUCAAGCCCCAAAAGUCAUUGCUGCUUGGACACUGAGAUGCCAGAUUCAUCUGUUGGUUCCUCACCAGGACUUCACACAACCUUGCAGUCUUUUUCACCCAGUAGUUCACAAUCAUUCUCUUCCAGAGGCUCCCACAGCCCUGUUAUU